rnacentral:rRNA from 1 species
UACGUAGGGUGCAAGCGUUGUCCGGAAUUAUUGGGCGUAAAGAGCUCGUAGGCGGCUUGUCGCGUCGACUGUGAAAUCCCAGGGCUCAACCCUGGGCCUGCAGUCGAUACGGGCAGGCUAGAGUGCAGUAGGGGAGACUGGAAUUCCUGGUGUAGCGGUGAAAUGCGCAGAUAUCAUGAGGAAGACCAGUGGCGAAGGCGGGUCUCUGGACAGUUCCUGACACUGAGACACGAAGGCCAGGGGAGCAAACGGG